rnacentral:lncRNA from 1 species
UAAAUCCUAAAUUUUAAACCCUAAAAUCCUAAACCGAAAGCCCUAAACUGAAAAUCUAUAUCCUAGACUCUAAACCCUAAAAUUCUAAAUCCUAAAUCCUAUAACCUAAAUCCUAAACUUUAAAUCCUAAAUCCUAAACCCUAAAUCUUAGAAACCUAAAACUCUAGGUACUCUACAACACUAAACCCUAAGUCCUACACCCUAAGCCCUAAACUCUAAAUCCUAAAUCUUGAAUCCUAAGCCCUAAAUC